rnacentral:rRNA from 1 species
CGCCUCUUGAAAAAAUAUAAGAGGUCCAGCCUGCCCAGUGACCAUGUUCAACGGCCGCGGUAUCCUAACCGUGCGAAGGUAGCGUAAUCACUUGUUCUUUAAAUGAGGACUAGUAUGAAUGGCACCACGAAGGUUAUACUGUCUCCUUUUUCUGAUCAGUGAAACUAAUCUCCCCGUGAAGAAGCUGGGAUUUUUAUAUAAGACGAGAAGACCCUAUGGAGCUUUAAACAGAAAAACAAUUGCUACUACAAUUAUUAAUUUCAGAAAACUAAACUUUAUUCUAGCAUUAUGAUUUUCAGUUUUAGGUUGGGGUGACCGCGGAGUAAAACAUAACCUCCGCAUUGAAACGGAUUUUAUCCUAAGCAAAAAGCUACGACUUUAAGCAUCAACAAAUUGACACCAAUUGACCCAAUAUUUUGAUCAACGAACCAAGUUACCCUAGGGAUAACAGCGCAAUCCACUUCAAGAGCUCCUAUCGACAAGCGGGUUUACGACCUCGAUGUUGGAUCAGGGUAUCCCAGUGGUGCAGCCGCUACUAAAGGUUCGUUUGUUCAACGAUUAAAACCCU